GCCUAAAGAGAAGCUUGCGGCUGAUUAGCUUGUUGGUGAGGUAAUGGCUCACCAAGGCGACGAUCAGUAUCUGGUUUGAGAGGAUGAUCAGACACACUGGAACUGAGACACGGUCCAGACUCCUACGGGGGGCAGCAGUGGGGAAUUUUCCGCAAUGGGCGAAAGCCUGACGGAGCAAUCUCGCGUGAGGGAUGACGGCCUAUGGGUUGUAAACCUCUUUUUUCAGGGAGGAACAAAAUGACGUGUACCUGAAGAAUAAGCAUCGGCUAACUCCGUGCCAGCAGCCGCGGUAAGACGGAGGAUGCAAGUGUUAUCCGGAAUCACUGGGCGUAAAGCGUCUGUAGGUGGUUUAAUAAGUCAACUGUUAAAUCUUGAGGCUCAACUUCAAAAUCGCAGUCGAAACUAUUAGACUAGAGUAUAGUAGAGGUAAAGGGAAUUUCCAGUGGAGCGGUGAAAUGCGUAGAUAUUG
rnacentral:rRNA from 1 species